rnacentral:misc_RNA from 1 species
GUAGGUGAACCUGCGGAGGGAUCAUUACUGAAUGGCCUCUCGGCCUUCAACCCUCAAACCCGUGGAAUCGAGACGUGCUUCGGCGCCUCUGGCGUCGGAUCUAUGCUGUUUAGCUUGUGUCUGAUGAAAACAAAAAUUUAAAACUUUCAACAAAGGAUCUCUUGGCUCUC